AUUGAACGCUGGCGGCAUGCCUUACACAUGCAAGUCGAACGGCAGCACGGGAGCAAUCCUGGUGGCGAGUGGCGAACGGGUGAGUAAUAUAUCGGAACGUGCCCAGUCGUGGGGAUAACGUAGCGAAAGCUACGCUAAUACCGCAUACGAUCUAUGGAUGAAAGCGGGGGAUCGCAAGACCUCGCGCGAUUGGAGCGGCCGAUAUCAGAUUAGGUAGUUGGUGAGGUAAAGGCUCACCAAGCCGACGAUCUGUAGCUGGUCUGGGAGGACGACAGCCACACUGGGACUGAGACACGGCCCAGACUCCUACGGGAGGCAGCAGUGGGGAAUUUUGGACAAUGGGCGCAAGCCUGAUCCAGCAAUGCCGCGUGCAGGAUG
rnacentral:rRNA from 1 species